rnacentral:tRNA from 1 species
GGAACAAUAGUUUAACUGGAAAAACACUCCGAGCUGAGGUUGAGUUGCCGGUUCGAUCCCGGUUUGUUUCU